GUCCCAGUGGCCGAGUGGUUAAGGCGAUGCCCUGCUAUUAUAAAGUAGUUUAGGCAUUGGGUUUUACCUGCGCAGGUUCGAAUCCUGUCUGUGACG
rnacentral:tRNA from 1 species